rnacentral:rRNA from 1 species
AUUGAACGCUGGCGGCAGGCCUAACACAUGCAAGUCGAGCGGAUGAAGGGAGCUUGCUCCUGGAUUCAGCGGCGGACGGGUGAGUAAUGCCUAGGAAUCUGCCUGGUAGUGGGGGAUAACGUCCGGAAACGGGCGCUAAUACCGCAUACGUCCUGAGGGAGAAAGUGGGGGAUCUUCGGACCUCACGCUAUCAGAUGAGCCUAGGUCGGAUUAGCUAGUUGGUGGGGUAAAGGCCUACCAAGGCGACGAUCCGUAACUGGUCUGAGAGGAUGAUCAGUCACACUGGAACUGAGACACGGUCCAGACUCCUACGGGAGGCAGCAGUGGGGAAUAUUGGACAAUGGGCGAAAGCCUGAUCCAGCCAUGCCGCGUGUGUGAAGAAGUCUUCGGAUUGUAAAGCACUUUAAGUUGGGAGGAAGGGCAGUAAGUUAAUACCUUGCUGUUUUGACGUUACCAACAGAAUAAGCACCGGCUAACUUCGUG